GGCGGGCGUUCCUAAUACAUCCAAGUCGAGCGGACAGAUGGGAGCUUGCUGCCUGAUGUUAGCCGGCGGACGGGUGAGUAACACGUUGGGUAACCUGCCUGUAAGACUGGGAUACUCCUGGGAAACCGGGGCUAAUACCGGAUGGUUGUUUGAACCGCAUGGUUCAAACAUAAAAAGGUGGCUUCGGCUACCACUUACAGAUGGACNCGCGGCGCAUUAGCUAGUUGGUGAGGUAAUGGCUCACCAAGGCAACGAUGCGUAGCCGACCUGAGAGGGUGAUCGGCCACACUGGGACUGAGACACGGCCCAGACUCCUACGGGAGGCAGCUGUAGGGAAUCUUCCGCAAUGGACGAAAGUCUGACGGAGCAACGCCGCGUGAGUGAUGAAGGUUUUCGGAUCGUAAAGCUCUGUUGUUAGGGAAGAACAAGUACCGUUCGAAUAGGGCGGUACCUUGACGGUACCUAACCAGAAAGCCACGGCUAACUACGUGCCAGCAGCCGCGGUAAUACGUAGGUGGCAAGCGUUGUCCGGAAUUAUUGGGCGUAAAGGGCUCGCAGGCGGUUUCUUAAGUCUGAUGUGAAAGCCCCCGGCUCAACCGGGGAGGGUCAUUGGAAACUGGGGAACUUGAGUGCAGAAGAGGAGAGUGGAAUUCCACGUGUAGCGGUGAAAUGCGUAGAGAUGUGGAGGAACACCAGUGGCGAAGGCGACUCUCUGGUCUGUAACUGACGCUGAGGAGCGAAAGCGUGGGGAGCGAACAGGAUUAGAUACCCUGGUAGUCCACGCCGUAAACGAUGAGUGCUAAGUGUUAGGGGGUUUCCGCCCCUUAGUGCUGCAGCUAACGCAUAAGC
rnacentral:rRNA from 1 species